UAAUCACCACUAAUGACUCUUUAGAUCCCUUUCUCCACCACGUCAUUAGUCCAAAAUCCGUUUGAAUUACCAAUACACAGUUCUAUUAUUAUUAAAACAGCCAUUCUCAAAUAUUUGACCCUUUGGAUGCCUUCUGUGUGAGGCAUUUCUCUCUCCACUUAUCUAGGAUUUCGGCUCUCUCUGGAUAUUCGGCUCUGCUUGUCCCUGCGCGUUAGGGUUGUUUCUUCCUCAAACUAUGUGAGGUUUUCCUCCCGUGGGGGGAUUGUUUCUCUUAUCCUGGACCCGGAUCUUCAUGUCGUGCUCUUUGACUUGACUGCGGCUGCUAGAAAUCUAUUUCGAUCAUGGACUGGGAAGUCAUAGCAGAAGAGUAUCGUUUGAUUGAUGAGGCCGAUCUCUCAGAUCGGCUGCUAGAUCCUCCGAAGGAGAGAUCUAUGAAAAUGAUUUGAAUGGUGGUCCGGUGGACUGGAAUAUGGUUCUUGUGGGGUGAAUCUUUACUAGUAAGAGGAUCUCGACACCAUCUUGGAAGCACUCUCAAGUGCAUGGUGCCUAUGAAGAGAUCUAAUUGUCCAACAGAUUGCAGUGAAGAUUGCGGUUUUUCGCUGUGUCCGCCUUCCAUCAGGAUUGCAAGAUUUUGGAUGAUCCUUUGCAAUACGUGUAGGGAUUAGAACUAAUAUUCCUUUAACAGUGGGGAUGAAGAUAAACCGUGUUGAUCAAAACCCCUAUUGGGUAGAGUUUGUCUAUGUGAAAUUGUCGGCGUUCUAUUUUUACUGUGGCCUCCUAGGGCAUGAUUAGUGUCAAUGCCUCAUCAAGGGGCUGAGGAAAGUGGAAAUAGGCUUCACCUUUUCCAAUUGCUAGAUCUUGAAGAAUAGAUUUUGUUGGUGUAUAAUGUCUUGUAUUCUGUCACAGUUUAAUCUAAGGAGUACUGGUGUAACGUCUCGACAUGUAGAACGACGAUCUCAUUAAUCGGUUAGUGGGCCGUGGGGGUUGCAAAGGGGGCAAGAGGCCUCAUACAUAAUAGAGUUUGAAUUUUUUAUUUGAGGUCA